rnacentral:rRNA from 1 species
GACGAACGCUGGCGGCGUGCUUAACACAUGCAAGUCGAACGGAAAGGCCCGGCUUUUGUGGGGUGGUCGAGUGGCGAACGGGGGAGUAACACGUGGGUAACCUGCACUUGACUUUGGGAUAUCUUCAGGAAACUGGGGCUAAUAGCGGAUAGGAGCUCCUGCUGCAUGGUGGGGGUGGGAAAGUUUCGGCGGUUGGGGAUGUACUCGCGGCUUAUCAGCUUGUUGGUGGGGUAGUGGCUGACCAAGGUUUUGACGGGUAGCCGGCCUGAGAGGGUGACCGGCCACAUCAGGACUGAGCUACGGCCCAGACUCGUACGGGAGGCAGCAGUGGAGAAUAUUACAGAGUAGGCGGAAGCCAGAUGUAGCAACGCCGCGUGCGGGAUGACGUCCUUCGCGUUGUAAACCGAUUUCGCCUGUGACGAGGCGAGAGUGACGGUAACGGGUAAAGAAGCACCGGCUAACUACGUG